rnacentral:lncRNA from 1 species
CCCACUAAGAAAUAUUAGUAUGUUUCUCAAUUUUCAUAUUUGAGGGGUAUAAAGUUCGAUAAAAUAGUGGGAGACACAAUUAGAUAAAAGUCUUAGUCUAGUUGUACAUGUCAUCAUGAGUUGAUCGCUUAUAUUGUUCUUAUUAUUAUAGAUUAACUACACUCAUGGCAUCCUCACUUUCACUUAGAGAUACUCUAGAUGCAAACAAGUUGACUGGACCCAACUAUA